AAAAAGCGCACCCAUUUCUCUAAACUUUAACCAUUGCUCCCUGCAUUCACACAUGAGUUAUAUUUGGUGAACUGCAACUGCAAACUGUCUGUUAUGUUUGGUGAACUGUCCACACACAAAUCCAAACAUUACAAAGCACUAGCAUUAAAUAAUGUUAACUCAAGUCAGCACAGCUUGAGCUCAGUUAGCGCACAAUUAACCAAGUGUAAACACAAGGAGUCAAAAUUUAUCACACACCAAUCAGAAACUUCGAUGGAUAGAUAAAAGGGUCAAAGUCAACUCCUUCAGGUUUGAAACAGUGGAUUCAAAGUGACUUGAGGGAGGAGGUCAAGAACACCAGAGUGAUGGAGGAAGAGAAGAAGAUAAAGGGGUCAAGGACACCAGAGUGGAGGAGGAGGUGGAGGAUGAUGAUCAUCUUCAUUUUCGAGGGAUAAAUGCCAUCAGCCUCAAUUGAUCACAUCUUCCAAAAGAAAUUCUGGAUAAAACAGGCCUACAACUCUGACAGAGUGAAAACCAACGUGUGGAAUAUGUUCAGAGAAUCUUUGAGAUUAAAGUAAAGCCUGACCCCAUGAAAUUUUCUAUGUAAAUGAGGCAGGUUUUAACCUGACCAAAAGGAUGAGGAUGGGAGGAACUUGAUUGGACAUCGGGCUGUUGUAAAUGUUCUGUCAGCAUGAAGGGAAUCUUACUAUGUGCGCAGCCAUCAGCCAACGAGGUCUACUCCACUGUUAUGCCAAUCUAAGACCCUAUAGCAGUAUGCCACUCUUUGCUUGACUUGAUGGUCUAAGAGAAUCAAUGUCAGCUUGGUGAUAACAUCAGUUUCCAUCGCACUGCUCUGGUUUGUGACUGAUUUACCAAUAACCCAAGGUUUUUCUUAACAUAUUUCUGCCUGCAUAAUCUCCCUUUCUAAACACGAUAGAGGAGUUUUGACCAUCAUUACGGUGGAAAGUGUAUGACAGAGAACCUUAUGUCCGUGUUCACCUCCUCCAGGCCAUGUGUAUAAAAUCUCUGUUGAACUCUUAUUUUGAAUUACUGUGUGACGUCACAUGUGGGUGGAGGCACGGACGUGCCCAGACAUGUUCAGUCCUCAGAAUAGUCCAGUGGUGCAAUGAGACAGACGUAGUUUGUUUAUGUGUGUGCGUUCUUGAGAAUAAACCACACACACAAAUACACACAUGCAACCCAAAUACGCAAAUCUAAAUGCACACCUAAAUGUGUAAACUGCUUGAAGAUGGGAUUGAAUAAAUCAAUGUGCCAAACA